GCCUGGGUGGCUCAGUCGGUUGAGCGUCUGACUUCGGCUCAGGUCAUGAUCUCACGGUCUGUGGGUUCGAGCCCCGCAUCGGGCU
rfam:Felis catus isolate Cinnamon breed Abyssinian chromosome X, whole genome shotgun sequence.